ACGUACCUGUUGCUGUUGGGUCGCCCAAAUCUGUUCUGCACUGCUUCGAGGCUGAGAAUAUGGUGAACCCUGCUCCUGUUAAGGAAGGUAAACUGGGCAAUCUUCUCCCCUGGGGAGAGGAUGCGUUGGAGGAGAAUGAUGGAGUGUUUGAUGAGUAAGAUGGGACUUCUGGUGACGAUUCGCUGCUUUGUUUUCAUUCCGUGGCAUUUUUAUCUGUUGAGGUUGUCGUUUGGUUAUUCUGUGAAGCAGCCAGCCAGGCUAUUAGUAUUUUCG
rnacentral:misc_RNA from 1 species